rnacentral:other from 1 species
ACAUCCCUGCGUCAUUCGUGAUGAUGAAGUUUGCUGAACCAACACCUUAAUUAAGGGAAUCAGAGUUCUGCUCUCAAAUUGAAAUCCCUUAUGGGGAUUACAGAAAGAAGAAGACAGAUUCCCACUUCACUUUAAGGGCUCAAGCAAAUUCUUCACACGGUGCAUGCGGGGAUUUU